rnacentral:rRNA from 1 species
CCUACGGGUGGCAGCAGUGAGGAAUAUUGGUCAAUGGGCGCGAGCCUGAACCAGCCAAGUCGCGUGAGUGAAGACGGUCCUAUGGAUUGUAAACCUCUUUUGUCGGGGAGCAAAAGACGCCACGCGUGGCGUUACGAGAGUACCCGAAGAAAAAGCAUCGGCUAACUCCGUGCCAGCAGCCGCGGUAAUACGGAGGAUGCGAGCGUUAUCCGGUUUUAUUGGGUUUAACGGGUGCGCAGCCGGAAGAUGAAGUCAGCGGUAAAAUUGGGGGGCGAAACCUCUACGAGCCGUUGAAACUGGUUUUCUUGAGUGAAUGAGAAGUAGGCGGAAUGCGUGGUGUAGCGGUGAAAUGCAUAGAUAUAACGCAGAACUCCGAUUGCGAAGGCAGCAUACCGGCGCUCAACUGACGCUCAUGCACGAAAGUGUGGGUAUCGAACAGGAUUAGAUACCCCUGUAGUC